UACGAAGGGGGCUAGCGUUGCUCGGAAUCACUGGGUGUAAAGCGCACGUAGGCGGAUUGUUAAGUCAGGGGUGAAAUCCUGGAGCUCAACUCCAGAACUGCCUUUGAUACUGGCGAUCUUGAGUCCGGGAGAGGUGAGUGGAACUCCGAGUGUAGAGGUGAAAUUCGUAGAUAUUCGGAAGAACACCAGUGGCGAAGGCGGCUCACUGGCCCGGUACUGACGCUGAUGUGCGAAAGCGUGGGUAGCAAACAGG
rnacentral:rRNA from 1 species